GGCGGACGGGUGAGUAACACGUGGAUAACCUACCUAUAAGACUGGGAUAACUUCGGGAAACCGGAGCUAAUACCGGAUAACAUAUUGAACCGCAUGGUUCAAUAGUGAAAGGCGGCUUUGCUGUCACUUAUAGAUGGAUCCGCGCCGUAUUAGCUAGUUGGUAAGGUAACGGCUUACCAAGGCAACGAUACGUAGCCGACCUGAGAGGGUGAUCGGCCACACUGGAACUGAAACACGGUCCAGACUCCUACGGGAGGCAGCAGUAGGGAAUCUUCCGCAAUGGGCGAAAGCCUGACGGAACAACGCCGCGUGAGUGAUGAAGGUCUUCGGAUCGUAAAACUCUGUUAUCAGGGAAGAACAAAUGUGUAAGUAACUGUGCACAUCUUGACGGUACCUGAUCAGAAAGCCACGGCUAACUACGUGCCAGCAGCCGCGGUAAUACGUAGGUGGCAAGCGUUAUCCGGAAUUAUUGGGCGUAAAGCGCGCGUAGGCGGUUUUUUAAGUCUGAUGUGAAAGCCCACGGCUCAACCGUGGAGGGUCAUUGGAAACUGGAAAACUUGAGUGCAGAAGAGGAAAGUGGAAUUCCAUGUGUAGCGGUGAAAUGCGCAGAGAUAUGGAGGAACACCAGUGGCGAAGGCGACUUUCUGGUCUGUAACUGACGCUGAUGUGCGAAAGCGUGGGGAUCAAACAGGAUUAGAUACCCUGGUAGUCCACGCCGUAAACGAUGAGUGCUAAGUGUUAGGGGGUUUCCGCCCCUUAGUGCUGCAGCUAACGCAUUAAGCACUCCGCCUGGGGAGUACGACCGCAAGGUUGAAACUCAAAGGAAUUGACGGGGGACCCGCACACAGCGGUGGAGCAUGUGUUUUAUUUCGAAGCAACGCGAAGAGCCUUACCAAAUCUC
rnacentral:rRNA from 1 species